rfam:Schistosoma mattheei strain Denwood, Zambia genome assembly, scaffold: SMTD_scaffold0001242
GUAAAGGCCCUUUUCAGGGCCGCCCACAAUUUGAUUGACAUUUUUU